AUUAUGAAAUUAAGUAUCUAAGUUAACAAAAAAUAUAUAAACAAAGUUUAAGUUAAAAAAGAACUUACUAAUUGGUGGAGGAGGAUGAUCGUACAAAUACAUGGGAGGGGGUGAUUCCGUACGAGGUUGCACGGCACUCUUAGCGAUAUUUCGACCCAAUGUAGUGAUCACAUCCCCAGUUUUACUAAUUAUUUUUCCCUUUGAAGAGACAAGAUUAGAACGAUCGGUGAUGACAUAUCACGGUCGACCUGUUUUCUUCGAUGUCGAUUAUUCGAACAUAAGUUAUAAUUUCACGAUGGAAAUUAUAAAUUUCUACGACUUCGUGGACUGAUUAAUCGUGAAAUUGCUUGUACGAAAAAAAAUCUGUGUUAUUGAGCUAUUUUAUCUAGAUCACAAGAUAAUACAAAUUUUUAAAAAAUGUGCAAUUUCCAAGAACGAAAGAUAGAA